UACGGGGGGGGCAAGCGUUGUUCGGAAUUACUGGGCGUAAAGGGCUCGUAGGCGGCCAACUAAGUCAGACGUGAAAUCCCUCGGCUUAACCGGGGAACUGCGUCUGAUACUGGAUGGCUUGAGUUCGGGAGAGGGAUGCGGAAUUCCUGGUGUAGCGGUGAAAUGCGCAGAUAUCAGGAGGAACACCGGUGGCGAAGGCGGAUCUCUGGGCCAUUACUGACGCUGAGGAGCGAAAGCGUGGGGAGCGAACAGG
rnacentral:rRNA from 1 species